UACCACAACCCUGCUAACCACAUCAGAGUUGACUUAAGCAAACCACCAAGCCCCUUAGAAGAAGGGGAGUCCUUCACAUAUAAUGSAGAAGGUUUUAAAGAAUGACUUACAAGAACAGUACGUUGACAUUGUCGCUCCUGACAGAGUUUCAUCUCCAAAGUCACCCAUCAUCUAUGCCCCUUCCAGAACUCCACACUGAGAGGAAACAGAACCAUAGGAUCCAAGCGCUGCUACUGGAAAAACAGCAAUCGGGGACAGAGAAGGGCAAUUCAUUCUGGGAGAAGUGGCUGAAUGAUCAGCAUACUACUCUGAAAAAUUAGAUUCAGUACUGACUUGUGAUACAGAGUCCUCACCUACUUCCCCUUAAGCAAGUGUCUUUAAUCUCGAUUCUGCACCAAUGAAGAGGGAUAGGUUGUAAAAGCAAAAAAAAAAAAAAAAAAAAAAAAAAAAAGUGUUAGUUACUAUAAGGUGCUGAGGACUGUAUACAUAUGUAGAUAGAUAUUGCAGGCAGAUUGUGCUUAUAAAUAUCUUUCAGAGGAUCCUGCAUUCCUGUGAAUUCUGCUGUGGGAGCUGUAGCCCCUGCGCACGGGGAGAGCUCUGCAGCCUGCUUUACCAGCACGGCAGGUUGCGUGCAGCAGCCUGCCUGUCGGUGCCUUGCAGCGCAAAGCAGGACGGCGUUGAAGGACAGGACACUAGCCUCACACUUGGGAAACCUACCUUGCCACAGACUUUUGCUAUGGUCUCACACAGUUACCUCUAAUGUAACUGGACAUUUUUGAGGGCAUGGGCACUAAUCUCUGUGCCUUAUAUUAGCUUACAAAAUAGGGAUAAUGCUAAUACUGUACCCACUUGACAUGAAGUCCUCUAAAUUCAGAACAUUAUAGACACACAAGGGAAGUUGUCUUUUUAUUUUCUACAGUAAAACUAAAGGUAAAAUUUUCUUUUAGCAUACGUAGUAGAUGGUUAUGAUACUCAAGUGACAAAUUGCAUUAUGGACCUGUGUCUGUUUCACAUACAUCCCACCUACUAAACUGUCUCCC
rnacentral:lncRNA from 1 species